rnacentral:rRNA from 1 species
AUUGAACGCUGGCGGCAGGCCUAACACAUGCAAGUCGAACGGUAACAGGAAGCAGCUUGCUGCUUUGCUGACGAGUGGCGGACGGGUGAGUAAUGUCUGGGAAACUGCCUGAUGGAGGGGGAUAACUACUGGAAACGGUAGCUAAUACCGCAUAACGUCGCAAGACCAAAGAGGGGGACCUUCUGGCCUCUUGCCAUCGGAUGUGCCCAGAUGGGAUUAGCUAGUAGGUGGGGUAAAGGCUCACCUAGGCGACGAUCCCUAGCUGGUCUGAGAGGAUGACAAGCCACCUGGGAACUGAGACACGGUCCAGACUCCUACGGGAGGCAGCAGUGGGGAAUAUUGCACAAUGGGCGCAAGCCUGAUGCAGCCAUGCCGCGUGUAUGAAGAAGGCCUUCGGGUUGUAAAGUACUUUCAGCGGGGAGGAAGGGAGUAAAGUUAAUACCUUUGCUCAUUGACGUUACCCGCAGAAGAAGCACCGGCUAACUCCGUG